CCUACGGGUGGCAGCAGUAGGGAAUCUUCCACAAUGGGCGAAAGCCUGAUGGAGCCACGCCGCGUGGGUGAAGAAGGUCUUCGGAUCGUAAAGCACUGUUGUUGGAGAAGAAAGUGCGUGAGAGUAACUGUUCACGUUUCGACGGUAUCUACCCAGAAAGCAACGGCUAACUACGUGCCAGCAGCCGCGGUAAUACGUAGGUGGCAAGCGUUAUCCGGAUUUAUUGGGCGUAAAGGUAACGCAGGCGGUCUGUUAAGUCUGAUGUGAAAGCCUUCGGCUUAACCGGAGUAGUGCAUGGGAAACUGGGAGACGUGAGUGCAGAAGAGGAGAGUGGAACUCCAGGUGUAGCGGUGAAAUGCGUAGAUAUAUGGAAGAACACCAGUGGCGAAAGCGGCUCUCUGGUCUGUAACUGACGCUGAGGUUCGAAAGCGUGGGUAGCAAACAGGAUUAGAUACCCCUGUAGUC
rnacentral:rRNA from 1 species